UUUAUGGAGAGUUUGAUCCUGGCUCAGAGUGAACGCUGGCGGCGUGCCUAAUACAUGCAAGUCGAACGAUGAAGCUUCUAGCUUGCUAGAGUGCUGAUUAGUGGCGCACGGGUGAGUAACGCAUAGGUCAUGUGCCUCUUAGUUUGGGAUAGCCAUUGGAAACGAUGAUUAAUACCAGAUACUCCCUACGGGGGAAAGAUUUAUCGCUAAGAGAUCAGCCUAUGUCCUAUCAGCUUGUUGGUAAGGUAAUGGCUUACCAAGGCUAUGACGGGUAUCCGGCCUGAGAGGGUGAACGGACACACUGGAACUGAGACACGGUCCAGACUCCUACGGGAGGCAGCAGUAGGGAAUAUUGCUCAAUGGGGGAAACCCUGAAGCAGCAACGCCGCGUGGAGGAUGAAGGUUUUAGGAUUGUAAACUCCUUUUGUUAGAGAAGAUAAUGACGGUAUCUAACGAAUAAGCACCGGCUAACUCCGUGCCAGCAGCCGCGGUAAUACGGAGGGUGCAAGCGUUACUCGGAAUCACUGGGCGUAAAGAGCGCGUAGGCGGGAUAGUCAGUCAGGUGUGAAAUCCUAUGGCUUAACCAUAGAACUGCAUUUGAAACUACUAUUCUAGAGUGUGGGAGAGGUAGGUGGAAUUCUUGGUGUAGGGGUAAAAUCCGUAGAGAUCAAGAGGAAUACUCAUUGCGAAGGCGACCUGCUGGAACAUUACUGACGCUGAUUGCGCGAAAGCGUGGGGAGCAAACAGGAUUAGAUACCCUGGUAGUCCACGCCCUAAACGAUGGAUGCUAGUUGUUGGAGGGCUUAGUCUCUCCAGUAAUGCAGCUAACGCAUUAAGCAUCCCGCCUGGGGAGUACGGUCGCAAGAUUAAAACUCAAAGGAAUAGACGGGGACCCGCACAAGCGGUGGAGCAUGUGGUUUAAUUCGAAGAUACACGAAGAACCUUACCUAGGCUUGACAUUGAGAGAAUCCGCUAGAAAUAGUGGAGUGUCUAGCUUGCUAGACCUUGAAAACAGGUGCUGCACGGCUGUCGUCAGCUCGUGUCGUGAGAUGUUGGGUUAAGUCCCGCAACGAGCGCAACCCCCUUUCUUAGUUGCUAACAGGUCAUGCUGAGAACUCUAAGGAUACUGCCUCCGUAAGGAGGAGGAAGGUGGGGACGACGUCAAGUCAUCAUGGCCCUUACGCCUAGGGCUACACACGUGCUACAAUGGGGUGUACAAAGAGAAGCAAUACUGCGAAGUGGAGCCAAUCUUCAAAACACCUCUCAGUUCGGAUUGUAGGCUGCAACUCGCCUGCAUGAAGCUGGAAUCGCUAGUAAUCGCAAAUCAGCCAUGUUGCGGUGAAUACGUUCCCGGGUCUUGUACUCACCGCCCGUCACACCAUGGGAGUUGUGUUUGCCUUAAGUCAGGAUGCUAAAUUGGCUACUGCCCACGGCACACACAGCGACUGGGGUGAAGUCGUAACAAGGUAACCGUAGGUGAACCUGCGGUUGGAUCACCUCCUUUCUAGA
rnacentral:rRNA from 1 species